rfam:Candidatus Saccharibacteria bacterium 47-87 scnpilot_cont_500_p_scaffold_55, whole genome shotgun sequence.
AAAUUGCUCCUAGACAUACCAAAGACAGUAGCUGUUAUGGCCAAGAGUAUGCUCAAGGCCGUCACUUAAUCCGCUACCGAGGAACAUGUAAAACAUACAUUUUCUGUAGUCUUUGGCAGUGCGAGGUCCAAAGACUCUUUUUAUUUCUAA